CGAAAAAGCAUUUAAGUGCUGCAAAUUAUGAAAUUAAUUUGAUGUUAUAAUUGCAAAGCAAUGUAAUGGCAUGCCUAUAUAAAUUUUAUUUUUUUUGAAAAAAAAAAGACAUGUGCAUUACUUUAUUACAAAUUUGCAUAGAAAUAAAACAGCUUUAACAAGACUGUUGAGAUGACUAUAUUUACAGUAUUAGUGUAAAGUAACUGUUUAGGUUUGCGGGAAGAAUAUUAAUUCUUGGUCACUUAUCUCAUAACAUCAUGUUUUAAAAUGCUAAAACAUACGAGUAAAUGUAGUUUUAAAUGAUUUCUUACAUUAAAUUUGUAAUGUAUCACAUUUAUAUUUUAUUAAAAUCAAUUUUCUCUGAAAAUAACACUGGCAACAUCACUUUCUGAAAACACAAUUGAUUGGAAGCAUGUCCACUAUUUUUUUCCCUUUUUUGUUCCUCUUCUGAGCUGUCUGCCUCUGUCUCUGUUCCACUGACAUGUUCUAUCACUCCUUCUUUUUAUUGAUAGAUCACUGUUUUUUGUAUAACCAUACUGUAUCUAUACCUUCUCCUAUUGUCUCAAUUGGUUCCCAGUUUGGUAGUGGAAACCUACAUGCCACUAUUCUCACGUCAUUGUUUGUUUCAUUCUCAAACUUUGUUUCUAGUCUGUCCAUC
rnacentral:lncRNA from 1 species